CCUAGGUAUGGCAUCCCUUUAAAGUGUGGCAAUUGCGGUGGAGAAGGGCAUAAUCGAAUUAGUUGUAAGGUAUGUGUCAAUAUAGGCUUAUUGAUUUACAUUUAAACGUAUUUGAUUUGGUUUCUGACUUGAUGACUUUGCUUAUUAAGAACCUAGAAAUCCCAACAUAAAGCCUACUAGGUCGAGGAAAGUUGCCAAGGAAAAACUUGCAGUAAGUGCCAUGGUUUCAACUAUGUUUUCACCAAUCAAAAUUUCAUAUCAUGAAAAAUUCUAAUUAUUAUUUAUUUUAGGUUUGAAGGAGAGAUGGUGGAGACACAAGUAGCGGACAACAGAGUAUGCAAUUAAGGCAAAGGAAACAAGCAAGCGGUUCCCAAGUGCCUUCUCAAUCCCAGGCUUCUAAAGUAGCUGAUUCUUCUCAAUCCCAAACAUCUCAAGCAGCUGAUGCUUCUUAAUCCCAACCAUCUCAAGCAUCU
rnacentral:lncRNA from 1 species